rnacentral:rRNA from 1 species
UCCUGGCCGUAAACGAUGCAUACUAGGUGAUGGCACGGCCAUGAGCCGUGUCAGUGCCGUAGGGAAACCGUUAAGUGUGCCGCCUGGGAAGUACGGUCGCAAGGCUAAAACUUAAAGGAAUUGGCGGGGGAGCACCACAAGGGGUGAAGCCUGCGGUUCAAUUGGACUCAACGCCGGAAAACUUACCAGGGGAGACAGCAGUAUGACGGUCAGGUUGACGACCUUACCUAACG